rnacentral:rRNA from 1 species
UACGAAGGGGGCUAGCGUUGCUCGGAAUCACUGGGCGUAAAGGGUGCGUAGGUGGGCAGGUAAGUCAGUGGUGAAUCUCCGGCUUAACUCGGAAACUGCCAUUGAUACUAUCUGUCUUGAAUACCGUGGGAGGUUAGCGGAAUAUGUCAUGUAGCGGUGAAAAUGCUUAGAUAUGACAUAGAACACCAUUGCGAAGGCAGCUGGCUACACGAAUAUUGACACUGAUGCACGAAAGCGUGGGGAUCAAACAGG